CACAGAGGCCUGGAGGAGUUUCCCCGGGUACCGGUGACCUUAUAUGGCCGGGCCCUGCCUGCACAGCCACCACGGUCAGUUGCUGGUGCUUCUCUGCCUACCUGACAGCUGAGCCGUCCAUCAACCCGCUCAUAUAACUGUCACACACAGGCACAUGCAGCAGAACACGCCCACACACUCUCUCCUUACACUUCCUGUUUGUUGGGCACUGUCUCCCUCUCUGUGAAUUUCUAUUUCAUUUGAUUUUAAAGUGGACCUGAGUUUUUGUGACAUACUCCAUCCUGGGAACCUGCCUGAAUAUGUUAAGUGUGUGGAAAGUAGACGAGGUACAGUGGUGUGUCCAGACUUUUUGGACUGAGGUGGCCCAAGUGGGGCACUGAUUUAUGCAGGGGUGGCAUGAAGUACACGCGAGCGCACACACAUUUACUGGUCUAAUGCUUUUGUUACGGACUGUUUACAUCCUUUGUCGGUUGGAGCAGGAGUUACAGCGAAAUCUGUGACCUGUCGGAUUCUGUGAGGCUACAGAACGAAGCACUGAACCAGAUGUGAAUUCUGCAUAACCCCACCGCAGCAAACUCCGCCCGCCCAGACGGGACCUCAUCACAGGAACAGCUGAAGAGAGACAAGAAAUGUGGGAG